rnacentral:rRNA from 1 species
AUUGAACGCUGGCGGCAGGCCUAACACAUGCAAGUCGAGCGGAUGAAGGGAGCUUGCUCCUGGAUUCAGCGGCGGACGGGUGAGUAAUGCCUAGGAAUCUGCCUGGUAGUGGGGGAUAACGUCCGGAAACGGGCGCUAAUACCGCAUACGUCCUGAGGGAGAAAGUGGGGGAUCUUCGGACCUCACGCUAUCAGAUGAGCCUAGGUCGGAUUAGCUAGUUGGUGGGGUAAAGGCCUACCAAGGCGACGAUCCGUAACUGGUCUGAGAGGAUGAUCAGUCACACUGGAACUGAGACACGGUCCAGACUCCUACGGGAGGCAGCAGUGGGGAAUAUUGGACAAUGGGCGAAAGCCUGAUCUAGCCAUGCCGCGUGUGUGAAGAGGGUCUUCGGAUUGUAAAGCACUUUAAGUUGGGAGGAAGGGCAGUAAGUUAAUACCUUGCUGUUUUGACGUUACCAACAGAAUAAGCACCGGCUAACUUCGUG